UAGGGGAUCAUGGUAACCUUUUCAAAAAAUAAGGACUCUUCAACGUUGUGUUUGCGUUAGGGUCAGGUCACUGAACGGUUACAUUGAAGUUUUUGUUACUGCAGUUUUACGUGAAAGUUAGGGUUAGGUGUUGAGGGAAGGUUAGAUGGUUAGAUGUUGAGGGAAGGUUAGAUGUUGAGGGAAGGUUAGAUGUUGAGGGAAGGUUAGAUGUUGAGGGAAGGUUAGGGUUAGAUGUUGAGGGAAGGUUAGGGUUAGAUGUUGAGGGAAGGUUAGAUGUUGAGGGAAGGUUAGAUGUUGAGGGAAGGUUAGAUGUUGAGGGAAGGUUAGAUGUUGAGGGAAGGUUAGAUGUUGAGGGAAGGUUAGAUGGUUAGAUGUUGAGGGAAGGUUAGGGUUAGAUGUUGAGGGAAGGUUAGAUGUUGAGGGAAGGUUAGGGUUACAGUAUAAUGUUACAGGAGUGGGUAUUGAUACGAUAUUACUGAUUAUACUACUGAUGUAUUCUGACUUGUUACACA